GACGAGCGCUGGCGGCGUGCUUAACACAUGCAAGUCGAACGACGAAGCGCAGCUUGCUGCGUGGAUUAGUGGCGAACGGGUGAGUAACACGUGAGUAACCUGCCCUUCACUCUGGGAUAAGCCCUGGAAACGGGGUCUAAUACUGGAUAUGACAAUCUUGCGCAUGCUUGGUUGUGGAAAGUUUUUCGGUGGGGGAUGGACUCGCGGCCUAUCAGCUUGUUGGUGAGGUAGUGGCUCACCAAGGCGACGACGGGUAGCCGGCCUGAGAGGGUGAUCGGCCACACUGGGACUGAGACACGGCCCAGACUCCUACGGGAGGCAGCAGUGGGGAAUAUUGCACAAUGGGCGAAAGCCUGAUGCAGCGACGCCGCGUGAGGGAUGAAGGCCUUCGGGUUGUAAACCUCUUUCGCCAGGGAAGAAGCUUUUGUGACGGUACCUGGAGAAGAAGCACCGGCUAACUACGUGCCAGCCGCCGCGGUAAGAC
rnacentral:rRNA from 1 species